rnacentral:rRNA from 1 species
AACUAAGCAUAUCAAUAAGCGGAGGAAAAGAAACUAACAAGGAUUCCCCUAGUAACUGCGAGUGAAGCGGGAAGAGCUCAAAUUUGAAAUCUGGCGGCUCCGCCGUCCGAGUUGUAAUCUGGAGAAGCGUUUUCCGUGCCGGACCGUGUACAAGUCCCUUGGAACAGGGCGUCAUAGAGGGUGAGAAUCCCGUCUUUGACACGGACUCCCGGUGCUCUGCGAUGCGCUCUCGAAGAGUCGAGUUGUUUGGGAAUGCAGCUCAAAAUGGGUGGUAAAUUCCAUCUAAAGCUAAAUAUUGGCGAGAGACCGAUAGCGAACAAGUACCGUGAGGGAAAGAUGAAAAGCACUUUGGAAAGAGAGUAAAACAGUACGUGAAAUUGUUGAAAGGGAAACGCUUGGAGUCAGUCGCGUCUUCUGGAACUCAGCCUUGCUUCUGCUAGGUGCACUUUCCAGUUUGACGGGUCAGCAUCGGCUUUGGGAGGCGGACAAAGGCGYGGGGAAGGUGGCAGCUCCGGCUGUGUUAUAGCCCCGCGUUGUACGCGUCUCCCGGGACCGAGGAAUCCGGCGCUCGUCGCCUGGGAUGCUGGCGUAAUGGCUUUAAGCGACCCGUCUUGAAACACGGACCAAGGAGUGCUACAUGCUCGCGAGUGUUUGGGUGGAAAACCCGAGCGCGCAAUGAAAGUGAAAGUCGAGACCCUUUGCGGGGGCACCGACGCCCGAGCCUGAAGUUUACGGACGGCCUUGCGGUAGAGCGAGUAUGUUGCGACCCGAAAGAUGGUGAACUAUUCCUGAGGAGGGCGAAGCCAGAGGAAACUCUGGUGGAGGCUCGUAGCGGUUCUGACGUGCAAAUCGAUCGCAGGACUUGGGUAUAGGGGCGAAAGACUAAUCGAACCAUCUAGUAGCUGGUUCCUGCCGAA